AGUGAACGCUGGCGGUAGGCCUAACACAUGCAAGUCGAACGGCAGCACAGUAAGAGCUUGCUCUUACGGGUGGCGAGUGGCGGACGGGUGAGGAAUACAUCGGAAUCUACUUUUUCGUGGGGGAUAACGUAGGGAAACUUACGCUAAUACCGCAUACGACCUACGGGUGAAAGCAGGGGAUCUUCGGACCUUGCGCGAUUGAAUUAGCCGAUGUCGGAUUAGCUAGUUGGCGGGGUAAAGUCACACCAAGUCGACGAUCCGUAGCUGGUCUGAGAGGAUGAUCAGCCACACUGGAACUGAGACACGGUCCAGACUCCUACGGGAGGCAGCAGUGGGGAAUAUUGGACAAUGGGCGAAAGCCUGAUCCAGCCAUACCGCGUGAGUGAAGAAGGCCUUCGGGUUGUAAAGCCCUUUUGUUGGGAAAGAAAAGAAGCAGGUUAAUACACCGAUGUUCUGACGGUACCCAAAGAAUAAGCACCGGCUAACUUCGUG
rnacentral:rRNA from 1 species